GGUGGAAACUACAUGACUAGAGUGCGUUCGGGGCAGAGGGAAUUCCUGGUGUAGCGGUGAAAUGCGUAGAUAUCAGGAAGAACACCGGUGGCGAAGGCGCUCUGCUAGGCCGCAACUGACACUGAGGGACGAAAGCUAGGGGAGCGAAUGGGAUUAGAUACCCCAGUAGUCCUAGCUGUAAACGAUGGAUACUAGGCGUUGUCUGUAUCGACCCGGACAGUGCCGUAGCUAACGCGUUAAGUAUCCCGCCUGGGGAGUACGCACGCAAGUGUGAAACUCAAAGGAAUUGACGGGGGCCCGCACAAGCGGUGGAGUAUGUGGUUUAAUUCGAUGCAACGCGAAGAACCUUACCAAGGCUUGACAUGUCCGGAAUUUCUUGGAAACGAGAAAGUGCCUUCGGGAACCGGAACACAGGUGGUGCAUGGCUGUCGUCAGCUCGUGUCGUGAGAUGUUGGGUUAAGCCCCGCAACGAGCGCAACCCUCGUUUUUAGUUGCCAGCACUUAGGGUGGGCACUCUAGAGAGACUGCCGGUGACAAACCGGAGGAAGGUGGGGAUGACGUCAAGUCAUCAUGCCCCUUACGUCUUGGGCUACACACGUACUACAAUGCUAUGGACAAAGAGCAGCCAGCCAGCGAUGGUGCGCUAAUCUCAUAAACCAUGGCUCAGUUCAGAUCGCAGGCUGCAACUCGCCUGCGUGAAGUAGGAAUCGCUAGUAAUUGCAGGUCAGCAUACUGCAGUGAAUUCGUUCCCGGGCCUUGUACACACCGCCCGUCACACCAUGGAAGUUGGUCAUGCCCGAAGUCGUUAUUCCAACCGAAAGG
rnacentral:rRNA from 1 species